rnacentral:lncRNA from 1 species
AUGGAAAGCUCCCCGCUUGUUCUAACGGCAGUUACACCAGGGGCCCAUUCUACCAGCCAGGUUUUUAGAAGACCCCUGCAAAUGCAGGGGUCCGACCUAGGAGGCAUUUCCGCUGUGCAUUUGGCUAAGUUUGGAUUUGACGAGCGCACGGUGAGCUCGGGCUCGCGCAGGUGGGCACUCUCUCCUUCCCUUAGCUCUCCUGACUCUCCACGAGACGCUCCCACCCGAAAAAAGCGGCCGCUCCCCCGCAACAGAUUCUGGCACCCCGGAGCGGCGCUGCAGUGUAGAGAGACCUGGGUCCGCCCAGCCCCAGGGAGGAGGCGCAGCGCCCAGCUCACGCACCGGGCUCUGGGAGCCGCUUCCCGCCCCCUCCCUCCCGCGGCGGCGGCGGCGGCGGCAGCAGCGGCCAGAGAAGGGGGCGGGCGAGGGGCGGAGCCUGGGAGGAGCGGCAACGGCGGCGGCCCGGGCGGCGGCGGCAGGUGUGGACCAGGCGGAGGUGUGGGGUAUCCGCUCGCGCCCGCGCUAACGAGAGGCCGGGACUCUGGGGUCCGGGCGACCUCCCUGAAGGUGCUUCGCGUGCGGCUUCGACCCGCGCAGAACUUGGGGCGCGGGCCAGGGACGCUCUGGUCCGCGUCCGGGGCCGAGAGGAGAAAGACGCGCGGACCGAGAGGAGAAGCGGCGACCGGAGGGCGGCGGAGGCUGAGGGGAAGCAGGAUGCCGCCCCUGUUUGGGCUCCCUCCUCGCCCCCGCGAGGCCGCGCGGAGCUUCAUCGCCCCAGCCCUACCGGCAGGUAGACAUGGAUUCCGUGGAAGUACCUCUUCAAGACCAGAGUGGGGCCCAUUCUUCCCAGGGCAGAGUCUUCCUCUCCCGUCACCUGCCCCUGGCAGGCAUCCAGGUCGUCCAGCUGCUGUUGCAGUCCAGUGCGGAGCUGCUCCAGAAGGGCAGUGUCCCAGGCAGCAAAGAAGCACUCUGUGUGGAAGAGGGUGAAGCUCUGCUGGAGCAUCUCAUGGAGCACAGAGAUGGCCUGGGCCUCCUGGAGCUGGUCACCCUCCACCAUCUGCUGGGGAAAACCGAAGCCUUUUCUGUUCUACAGACAGGAGUGAGGGGAGAGUCUGCUCAUUUGGCCCAGGAGCCUGAGGUUUUGCUUGAAACGUGGUUCUGAGAGAGAUCACAGCCCAGAGAUCCUCCCGGGCCAUAGCUGAUCAGCACCAGGGUUAUUAGUAGAGAGAGUGUGAAAUCCAUGGGGAAGAUGAGGUUGCUGCUUGGCUGGCUGAGAUGGCAUAUGGUGGAACUCUGGAGGUAGGGUGUCUAAUGAUAAUCUUUCUAAGCAAGGCUUUUAAUUAGGGAACACAGUACUCAUUGUCUGAAAAUUUCUGUCUCACUUCCCCUGUGUGUUUUCAUUUAGAUAUUUUCUAUCUGACCUAGAAAAAGUACUCAAGCUAAACUCUUAAUUUUUAUGGUAGAAAGUUAACUUUCCCAAUAAACUUUGGAUUUAUCAAUGCA